rnacentral:misc_RNA from 1 species
GUUUUCUUAUUUUGCUUCAGCCAUGAUAUGAGCUCCCUCCCUACUCCGGUUUAACUUCUUAAUAGUGGUAUUUGGGUUUUGUUUCUAUUAAUCAUAGAGCUUUAAGGAGAGGGAAAUAUGCAAUAGAUCGGUUACUAAGAGAGCUGGUGUGUGGAAACUCUUUUGGGUUUCUAGAUUUCUGGGUUCUAGAAAUUAUUACUGUUUGGUGGGAGAAGUUCAUACAUGUUUACGGUGCCGAUAUUUCCAAAGUUAGUCUUCUUUCAAUUGGAAGUGUUCCCUAAGGCUAUUGGAGAUUGAGGGGGUGGUGAGUUCUACCGCCUUACUUUCUUGGUCAAGCAAGUGAUGCUACUUUUAGAGGAGACAAGAGAUUAGCAGCCGUUUGUGGUUGAAUCCUAAUGGCCCUUAGGUUGGAGCAACUUUCUAUUCUUUUGGAUGAUGUUAGUUUUCCAUUCGCUGCUGACAGCCCAGCAAAAAGCAGAGGCUGAGCGGCAACUUGAUCCUCUUUUCCUCAUCCAAGUUUUCUAGUUAGGAGUUUAAAUUAAGAUAUCUGUAUUGGGUUGUAGUUAUUUUAUGUUGGAUUUAGGCCUUUUGUUUUUUUUGUCCCUAUUUUUAAGCCCUUUAAUGCAUGUUGCUUUCUGAGCCUCGUU